CAGCAGCCACGGUAAAACGGAGGGGGCUAGCGUUGUUCGGAAUUACUGGGCGUAAAGCGCACGUAGGCGGCUUGGUAAGUUAGAGGUGAAAGCCCGGAGCUCAACUUCGGAAUUGCCUUUAAGACUGCCGAGCUAGCAGGUGAGAGAGGUAAGUGGAAUUCCGAGUGUAGAGGUGAAAUUCGUAGAUAUUCGGAAGAACACCAGUGGCGAAGGCGGCUUACUGGCUCAUACUGGACGCUGAGGUGCGAAAGCGUGGGGAGCAAACAGGAUUAGAUACCCCCGUAGUCCCUGUCUCUUAUAC
rnacentral:rRNA from 1 species